UGAAGCAGAUAUCCGGCAGGGAGCUAUC
rnacentral:sRNA from 1 species